UUUUUUUUUUUUUUUUUUUUUGUGUCAAACAGACGUGUGCCCAUUUGACCUACCAAACAUUUCCACUUCGAUUCUGCCACUAAAUUGAAGGAUCACCACGUGCACGCCAGACCAUGACAACCCCAAUCAAAGAACAAUCGAAAAGCAACGCUUUCCUUCCUUCCUUCCAACCUUUUUAUUCAACUAUUCAAGAUUUGACCUAGCUAACGCUUUCUCUUUAUACGCGAUCAAGCCCCACAAACAUACUCUCCCUAUGAUAGACACGUACGCACGUUGCAGUAUAAGAAUCUCAACAAACGAUUAAUUAUGCCAACUAAUAAUCAUCACCAAAAUUACUACAUUAUUAUUUAAUUAAUCCAAACACCACCUUUUAACUUGAAAUGCCUCGUGCUGUAUAUUCAAAGCUUGCUCUGAUCGUAGGUUCUGAGAAAACAAAAUGGAUUUUUUUUGAAAUAAUUUCACAAUAAAUUUAUCAAUUCUUUUUUUUUUAAUUUCAUAUACAUUACAUUUUAAAAAACGUGUCAUAAAAUUGCAGUAGCGUAAAUAGAAUCUAAUCUCCUCAGCCCAACAUUUUGUUGUUCACUUCUCGUGCACAUUGUCUUCCGAUAUGAAACAUGAGUUGCAAUCGAUGUCAUGGUGAUGAGGUUCAUUAGUUUCUUCGUUAGUGGUUAUCUUUUACUUGUACUGAUUAAUCUAGGAUUAGAUGUCAAUGUGAUGAUUACUCUUUAUUUAGUCUACGUACUUCAUAGGCUACCACGUAGACUUUUGGGAGCCUCUAUUGAAUUGAAAAUUGAUAUUUAUCCAUUUGAGUUACGCCGGGAGGAGAUUGUGGAGUGAAAGAAACCCCAAAAGGCCGUAGAAAAAUACAAACGCCUAUAAUCGGGCCCCACCUACCUAUUCGAAGAGGAGUAAAAAGGAGGAAAAAAAAUAAAGAAAAAAAUGUGGGUAACGUGGCAGCAAAAUGUGACUCCAGUACAGGACCCCCUUUCUUUACUGUCGAUUUCACUAUCCUUCUUUUGAAAAAAUUCCGCCAACUCCAAAACGCCUCUCGUGCUUUGAGUCCACGUGUAUGCACGUGUCCAUCACUCUAUCUCUCAUCCCUGCCGACGUGUUCUUAAUCAACGCGUGAAAAAUGCAUUCCACUUUUUUUCAUGUUUACUAGGAAGGAAAGAAAGAAAAAAACACCUCACACAAUCACACACUACACACACCACAGAAUGAUAGAGAAUCAACCCACCCAGGGUGCGCCAUUCUCUCUCUCUCUUUUUUUUUUUUUUUUUUGGGAUCUCUCGGAGAGAUCCGAGAAAUGCCAGAGAAGUAACACAGGUCUUCUAGAGAUUACGUGAGGGGGAGGCACGUGGCCGGGAGAUCUUUCAAUUUUAUUUUUUUUCAUUUUGCAGAAAAAAAAAUUUUUUGGUCGAGGGAAUUAAUGCAUUUUCUUUUCUGGGAGGGUUCAUGCACCUGGAGGGAAGCUUUACCACUGGAUAAGGUCGGCCGCUUGAUAAUGCCGAAUUCUUAGUACGUGUCACCCUAUGAACGGUGAUGAACUCGGGAUGGGACCCAUUUCUGGACUUUUGAGAAAAAGACGACCGUACUUAUCUCUCCGUUACCCCUCAGUCUGCACCAAUAUAAAUACCGUCCAAUCCCCCACUACCCAAAAAAUUGAAAAAAGAAUUCUUGGAGAGCGUUUCCAGAGUUCGACUUCUCCAACGCCACCUCCCGCCCUUUUUUGCCCUCCACUCUAGUCAAAGUUAUUUUUUAACUAUUUUCUUCCUGAAAGGAAAAGGAAAAAAAAAAAAAUGGGUGUUCGAGAAACUGACCCGCUUUCACAACUGAGCUUGCCACCUGGGUUUAGAUUCUAUCCUACAGACGAGGAGCUGUUGGUGCAGUACCUCUGCAGAAAAGUUGCAGGCCAUGAUUUUAAUCUUCAAAUUAUAGCAGAGAUUGAUCUUUACAAGUUUGACCCAUGGGAUCUUCCGAGUAAGAAUUUCUCUUUUUCUUUUUUCCUAAUGAUUUGUUGUGACGAUCAUUUAAAAAAAAAGACAAAGUUGUUUCUGAUUGUUUUAUGUUAUUUAUUGAUUUUGUGCAGGUAAGGCAAUAUUUGGGGAGAAAGAAUGGUACUUUUUUAGCCCAAGGGACAGGAAGUACCCGAAUGGAUCGAGACCCAAUAGAGUUGCUGGCUCCGGCUACUGGAAAGCCACUGGAACCGACAAGGUCAUCACCACCGAAGGACGUAAAGUUGGGAUCAAGAAAGCCCUCGUUUUUUAUGUGGGCAAAGCACCUAAAGGCACCAAGACCAAUUGGAUCAUGCAUGAAUACAGACUCUCCGAGCCUUCAAGGAAAAAUGGUAGCGCCAGGGUAAGGACGAUUAGUUUACAUUUUUAUCUUUUAUCAUAUCCAUCGAUUCCUUGGAUUUUUUUAUUAAAAUUGUGGUUUUCCAAGAUUAAUCGGAGUUUUUCUUUGUACAUGCAGUUGGAUGAUUGGGUGCUAUGUCGAAUUUACAAGAAAAAUUCGAGUGCAGGUGCAAAGCCGGUUUCUGGGCUUCAGAGCAGAGAGCACAGUCAUGGCUCAUCUACGUCAUCCUCAUCUCAGUUCGACGAUGUUCUCGAGUCGUUGCCGGAGAUUAGUGACCGGUUUUUCGCCUUACCAAGAAUGAACUCUCUCAAGAAUCUCCACCAAGAUGAUCAGAAAAUCAAUAUUCAAAACUUGGGUUCAGGGAGCUUUGAUUGGGCGACCCUCGCCGGACUGAACUCGUUGCCGGAACUCGGUCCCGGAAGCCAAGCUCAAGCUAUUCCGGCAGCAGCUGCACAUGGACAUGUGAACAACAACGUGGCCAGCUGCAAUAACAACGAUAGGAAUAAUGUGAAUGCCCAGAAUGACAUGUACGUCCCAUCGUUUCCGCAGGCCGGCCACGUGGACGAGGAAGUACAGAGUGGGCUGAGGAGGCACCGGGUUGAGAAUUCGAGUUUCUUUCAGCAUAACGCCAACCCUCUUGUGCCUCACACACACAGCUUUCACAACUCGGUGGACCCAUUCGGGAUCCGGUACCCGCCGACCCAAACCGGGAUUAUGGGUUUUAGGCCAUGAAGAGUAAAUCUAGGAGAUAAAACUGUGAUGGGUGAAGAUUGUGCUUUGGGGUGAAUUUGUAAAUAUAUGGAUUCUUUGGGCCGACAAUUUGACUUUAAUUCCAAGAGAAGACAAAGAACAGCACGGGGAGACUUUCAAGAAUUUUAUUAUGGGUGGGGUUGGGUGUCUUGAUACAUAUGCCUUAUGGUUACCCCAUUCGUUUUUUUGUAGUAGUAAUUUCUAGGAGAAUGCUAUUUACCUGAAAUGUCCAUGACCAUGAGAAUGUAUAUGUACUCUCUGCUCAAAAGCUGAGCGAGCUAUUAAUGUACAUCAAGAUCUUAAUAUAAUUGGGGAAUUCAAAGGUAAUUAUUAUUGUAGUAUAUUCAGCAUUAUUUAUUUCUUUCCUUAAAACUUGUUUUCUUGGCUAGUUGAGAAUAUUUUGCAAAAAUUUUGUCUACGUGCAAGUGAUAUCCCUUAAACUAUCAAUAGGGGUUGAUCUGAGUGGUAAGCGGCUCGAAUUCGCUUAAACAGGUCUCGUGUUCGAGUUCUAGUGUAUGCAGACACCCUUGUUGGGAGAUUCACCCAUCAUAAUCAGGUGCGCUACGCGGGUCGUGUCCGGAUUAGUCGGGGCAAAGUUUCGGAUACCGGACGGGUAACCAAAGAUAUCCCUUAAACUUAUCAAUGGCACCCCAUCACGCAAAUUAAACUUAUCUUUUGUAUUUUUACAUUUUUUUAAUUAAGUUUAUCACUCAAAAAAUUUAAAACUUGAAAUAGAUACAUACAUGUAAACAAGGCAUGCAUGCUCAAGAUUUUAUGUUCCUUUUUUUUUCCCCACAUAGCAAAGAGUUAAUGUUAACGAAAUGUUGCUCAUUGGACGUUGAAUUAGUAUCGGCUCCAUCUAAAUUAGUAUUUUUGAAAAAUCCGAACCAAACACAUUUUUUUUAAAAAAAAAAAAAAUUUAUACGCGUCAUAUUGUAAAAAGUACCAGCAUAAUUAUUUUCUCUAAAAUCAAACUUUUGAAAAUAAAAAUGCAAUCCGAUACAUGGUAUGAACCCAUACAUUGGAGUGACGCGAAGAUGCCGAAGUCAAAUUCCAUUCUUGAUCCUUGAAUUGAGGAUCGCACGCCUGCCCAUGACAUGAUGAAACAUUGUAUUUGACAGGGUCAAGUUGUUUGACCAGAAAUAAGCACGUGAUUUUAGAACAACCGCCAAGAUUAGGCCUAACGGCGAUAUCCUUUUUCUUUUUCCGAGGAAGGUAUCCUAUAGUUUCACCAUUGCGGCGCCAGCUGAAUGACAGGUCCUAAGCUACAUUGGCGGCGGCGGCUGUUAAACUCCAAUGAAGGAAGUUGGAAUUCUCUGCCAAAAUAAAUAAAAAAAAGUUGGGACAUUUAUAAUUCAAAAGCUUUUCGAAGAUUUUCUUUUUCUUUUUUUACUUUCAUUUGUUUCUUCUAACAUUUCUUUUUUCGGUCCGUCUAACGGGUGCUAGUGCCUUUUGAACACCCAUUAAAAUGUAUUUCAGGUAUUCGAUUUUUAAAAAUGUAAAAAAAUAAUAAUUAUUAAUAUGCAUGUAUAUAUAUAUAUAUAUAUAUGAUAAAUUAGAUAAAAUGUACAUGUGUUAAAGGAGUGUCCUGAACCGUUCAUUUUUUCUACGGAGAAACCUUUGCAUGUGCCAUUGUACCAAUAAAGAAAGAUUAGCCGGCAGGAAGAAAGCCCAUUUUGGAGAGGACCUUUGAAAAGUAUGCAACUUGCAUAUGUUAAUUAAAUGAUGAGCUUGCUUAAGAAAAAUUGACCGACUUAUUUUAUUGGACUCUUGUGAAAGAUAAAGAUGUUUCCAUUAUCUUCUGAAACUAAAAUAUUUGUGGACAUCAACGUUGAGUUGUUCUUGGGAAGGUUAAAUAAUGACAAUAAUAUUCUAUUGAUUGGCUUUUUAUACAUGUUCUUUUCCUCUGUAAUAUAAGUUUCUGAAAAAGAAAAUUCCAUUUUAUGAAGCUAGAAGUGAAAAUAUAUAAUGGCCACUUUUUUCUUUUUGGUAAGUAAGAGAUUUUGAAUCCAGAAGCUCCUACUCACAAUUACUUCCACUUACCACCCAACCCAAUCCUCCCUCGUCUAAUUACCACUUGAUUGUUCGUUUCUUCGGAUUUCGAAAAAAACAAAAAAAAAUCUUGAACUUGGACCUCCCUGAAAAAUCAUAAAAUGGCUUAAUUUGGAUCACUGCAUAGUCCCUCGAAAGCUUCCACAGCUAUACAUUUGACGUUUCGUAAAAGGAUUUCCUAACCAGUAAAGCACCACUAUCCAGUAACGACACAUUGGGCCCAUCUUAUUGGACUUAAAUAGGAUUUGAGGCUGUGGUUGAUUUUGGGCCUCUUUUGACUAUCUAUUUAAGCCUUCCAUGAUUUGUGAUCUUGCAACAUUACAAAAGUAAACGUGCAGCGACACAAAUUGGCUCAUGACAUAUGAUUCAUGGCCUCGUGCACAAGACUCAACCAGCACAAACUUAUAUUCUCUCCCCCUCUCUCUCUCUUCUUCCCCAAUUUUUAAUAACUUAUCAAUAAAGCAUUAAUCUUCUAGCAUAUACAUAUCAAGCUUUGGUGCAUGAUAAUUAAUUUUAAUUUAAUUUUAAAAUUCAAAAUUUACACGUGUGAUAUGUAUCCAAAUUCAAUAAUAUAUAUACCAUCAAUGUAUAUAUAUAUAUAUAAGAUUAAUUCAUGGAUGAAUAGCGAGGGAGAGAUUUAUUUGGAUUUUAUAUGUUGAACGACCUUUUUUUUCCUAGACACAAUAAAUUCUAUUUUGGACCAAUUUCUACCUUACACUAAAGGGAAUGGUUAAAUUCAAUGGGGAACCCGAAAGGAGUUGAACGCUACUAAACCAGAUGCUGGACAAGAUUACAGGUCAAGCGCCCCCGGUGGCCAACUACUUGGUUGUUGAACAACUUGCCUUAGUCUUUUCAUUUGCAGCGAGGGAGCUGCUGGUUUGCGGUGGGAGCAAAUAUGCGUUUACGAGAAUCCCGCAAGAGCACGAAGUGCGACUGAACCUCCACGAAUCAUGGGUUUUGUCCAUUUCCUAAAGCAUUUUGCACCGCGGAGAACAGCAAGUUAUUAUUGCAUUUAAUAUUUUUACGUUACAACUAGAAGUAUUUAUACAUCCUUUGAAAAAGGAAAAAACUUAAUCCUGCUCUUACUUAUCGAGAUUUUUUGAGAGAAUGAAGUCGCCUAUGGCUACAUGAUCAAUGACCCGAUUAGGGGUGAUAUUGAACCAAAUAGCUCGAUUCGAACUCGCGAGCUACUUAAUCAACAGCUCGACUCUCGAACUCAUUUUGAUAGAAUUCGAGAUUAAGUUUGAGUUACUUGUUUAAACGCGUGAGUCUAGCUCAAAUUCCAAAUUAUUGUACUCGAAGCUCGAUGAGCCUAAUCGAGUAUUUUUAUAAUAUAUAUAUAAUUUUGUAUAUUUAUUAUUGUGAAAUGUCAAUAGACUCGAUUGAGUUUGAUUAGAAUCGAUUAGAUUUAGUUAGACGCGAGUGAGACAAACUGAAGUCGAAUUCAAAUUCGAAUUCAAUUAUUUUACCUUGAGUCGAGCUUUACUAGUGCACUAUUUGAAUUCGAUUCGACUCGAUUCAAAUGCACCCCUAAAUCUGAUAACACGACAGCUAUGAAAAAAUAUCGAGGAAACAGCGACUAUAUAUGCAUGUUAAAAGCUUCACAAUGUUAAAAUCAUUCAAGAAAUCUACAAUAUAACUGUACAAGGUUUUAACUAUUAACAUCAAUCGGACAUUACAUAGUUGCAAUAUUCUUGUGCCCAGAUGCUUACAAGUUAAAAGGGGGCAAAAAAUAAAAAAAUCAUAAGUUCCCUUUGGGUGUACUUCGGCUGCUGAUGUCAGUCCCACUUGCAAUAGUGAAUAGCCUAAUUGAUGUACAUACAAUCCUUUUCACAUAGAGAUUACCUUUCCGGAUUUUGUCAAAAUAUUAGUGAAUGGAUACGAAAAAUAGUUGACAUUCAUUUUUACUAUAGAUGGAUAGGCAAUGAGAUCAAUGAGCAUGAAGCUGCAAACAAAUCACUCCUAUAACUUCACAAACAAAAGCAGCCCUUAUCAUCAUUGUUAUAACCCCACUGAACUUCUCCCCAAGAAAAAUGAAAAAGUAACCCAUAAAUUAAGGAGGUUAAAUGAAUCUUGUGACACGUGUCAAAGAUAUUACGCAUAUGUCCAAAGGUGGCAGUGCGUAUCUUUAUCUUUUGUUGAGAGGAAGUAUUAGCUGUGUGACAGUAAUAUUUCUUUAGCUGCUAAUUACUUGGAUCAAGAUAAAUGACCAAGUAUAUGUCUUUGUAUACAAAUUUGGAAAGUGAUUGUGCCCAGCAGCACCAUGUACAGCAUGGAUUAGUAUUAUCAAUAGCUAGUUGUGAUUGCAACUUUUAAGUUAGAUUAUCUUUACAUUCUAUAUUUGGAAAAGCAAAACUCAGACACCUAGAACCCUCUUCAAUCGCAAUUCUUAGCUCUUCUAAAUUGUGGCCAUGCUUGUCAUUGUUUUAGAUAAUGAAAUCCAUUAGCAAAAUCCUAGUUUAGGUGCAACGAAUUCGUAUUCGUGUUAGGGAAAGACUACCGCAUAUUAUGCCAAAUUACGGGACUUGAUUUUGAUAAUUAUUAUGUGAUUCAUUACCAUUGUUUUCGUACAUUAUACGGUAGAUCUGCAAUUAUACACAAUUUGAAUAUUCUAAUUAUAAAUUGCUACUUUUGUACGUAUAUCUAAUUUUGUUACUGCACAAAAUAUCUUCAUCUAGCUAGUUGGGUGCGUGAUUGGAGGUUUAAGAAAAUUUUCGAAUUUGGGACCUCAAGGAAUUUCUUUUUCUUUUACAGGAAAUUAAAACUGUCGUUCUUUUUUCAAUUUUUGUUGUUAAUCGUGUCAUUUUUUUCAUUAUUAAAUCAUUUUCGUGUACGAUAAGAAGAUACUAAAACUUCAAUUCUCUUGUUUUAGAGGAAAAACUAACAAAAAUUCACGUCUUAAUGGCAAAAAAUAAAAGAAAAAGAAAACCGCAGUCUUCUUGAAUACAUCCAUGAUUGUCUAUGGCUUUUAAUUCCUUCUCCACCUAUUUGAGAAAAGGUAUUCCAAAGUAUUUAUAAAACCCAUGCUUUGCAACAAAUAAAUAGAUACUGAUAUUGCUUUACUUACAUAAGUAAAGUGACGCACAAAAAAUCCGUCUGUACAUUUUGUCCAUGAAGCACUCAAAUUCGCUUUAGAAGUAUUAGCCUAAAUAAAUAAAUGAAAGGGUUGUUUGGAAUAGUCGAAGAUGGUUAAAAUCACUAUGGAAUCGGAAGGUUGGCCUCUUUUGCUUUCUUAGGGCAGUCAAUAAUCAAAUUGGUAACUUGUUUGCCGUUUGACGGAUUCACUUCCCUCGUAGUCAUAGAGGUUCAUUCGUAGUACUAAUGUGACAUUCGAAUAUGGUUGACCAUUGAUACAAGAAAAUCAAAAUUACCAUGAAACCUUCUUGCAUUUGAAAAACGCAGUCAAAAUGGACAAGUCCAAGUCCGCUAACAACUUAAUUAAUUCUACUUCUUCUUUUUUUUUUUUUUCUCCAGAAUUUGCCUUUUUAGCUAGGAACCCUUAAUUCUUCUUCAGUUCAAUUUUGUUUCGGUUCCUAUAUAUAAGUUCAAUAUUGUCAAAACUCUUAGGAACUCAAUAUUCAAAUUGAGCAUCUUGUCACAACUAGCUAGGGAUAUACAGGUGAUGUGCAGAUGACAACAGCAGAACAUCAUCAGUAAUGGACACAUGCAUAUAUAUGAUGAAGAUCAUUGACGAUGAUAAAAAAAAAAAGAAAAAAGAAAUAUAUGAUGAUGAUGAUGAUGAUGUGGUUAGUGUAUUAAUUAAGAAGGAAAACAAAUUGUUGUAGCAUACCAAACUGCUGAUUUCGUAAGGAUAAUUAUGUACAACAGAUUUAUUUGAUGAGGCUUGAAUCACAUGUGAAAGGGUCAUGCAAUUGUGACUUGCCUGAAUUUGUUAGAUGCUAUGGAAUUCUGCCUUUCUUGUGGCGUAAUUCCAGGGCCUGUCUUUUAAACUUGUUCGGCAUCAUAACUGAUGCAUGCCAAAGGAAAGCUGACUUUGCCUACCCCAUUGUCAAAAUCAUAUUACAUACAAUCUUUGUCUAUUUUCAGAAUGCGUAGGAAUCCCAUUGUAACUCUUCUUCCCUGGAUUUUAGCUACAUCAAGGGUUUAAUGGUUUUUUUUUUUUUUUUUGUGAGGCUACAAAAAGUUUUUUCCAGCUAUCAAGUACCUACGUACAAAUUGAUGAAAUGGUUCUCCAAAGGACAGGCUGUAUAUGCUCUCGAUCGAUUAUUUUAACUAAUUAUAAUCACCCAAAAAAUAGCUAUUUCAGUUUCUACAGUCAGAUUUUGUAAAAUCUAAAUCAACCGAGAACAGGGCCAUAGGGUUUUACUGCACGCGAUGCAACAAUCCCAUAUAUAUAUAUAAAACUUUUAAUACGUACGUACACCAUUGCUUAGCAGUGAUGAUGAUACAUUAAUUGAUGAAAGGAGUAUGGAUCACCGCUGAAGCAUACAAAAAGUCACGAGUCGUACGAGAUGCACAUGCAAAUCUAUACUUUUUCUCGUUAAACAGCAUAAAGAGCAAAUUAGGUUUUCCAAUUUCCGAUAAUCUGAAACCGAUACGUACCAUAUUUUCACAGUCAUGGCAGCCCACAUGGACGGUAUUAAUUAAUUAAGCUUAUGUUUUAACUCUACUGUUAAUUAGUAAAUGGCUGUGCUUAAUUAUUACAUUUCUUUCGUCCCCCGAUGCUGGAUAUAUAUGAUUUCCAUGACCUCAUAAAUGAACGUAUAGUAGUAGAAUUAACAACUUCUUCUUGUCUUAAGAGGUGCCCCUUUUUCUCUGUCUGUGGUGUCCAUGACGACAAUGAUGGAGAAAUGACAUUUUUAUCUAUCCUUCUUUCUUCAGCUCCCUCGUGAAAAGAUGAUUAUUUUUCUUUCUAAUUUCCUCUUCAUGCACUCAGGACGUGAUAAAAGCUGUGUUAUGUAUGUGUAACAUAUAUAAUCGGGGGAUAAAAUGGUGAUAAAAUUGUAUACACUCGAUCGUUUGUCCGGGCCGGGGUUACAUCUGAACAAAAGACGGUUUUGAUUUAUGGAUAGCAUCGUUGUGGUUUCAAUCACGUUAAGUAUUAUUAUUAGUAACUUGGAAUCUAUUAAUUUGAAGGAGAAGUAAUAAAUUCUGAGGAUGCUAUAGUUUAUUUUGGCUUCUUAUUGCUUCGGCUGCAACCAUGCAUAGGGUAGAGCACCCCAACCCGAAGUCCAAGUUUUUUGUGAAAGGAAAAAAGGCAUCUGUUAUUGAUAAUAUUCUCGAAAAUAUUAACAAAAAAUUGAACUAGAAAUAGGUCCAAAUGUAUCUCCGACUUUGGCAGGCACCAUAAUCAUAUGCUUCAAGCUAAGACUUUGUCCUUUUUAUUUUCAUAUAGAGCUGCAUGUACAAAUUAUUUGUUGUCAAUUUAUGUAGAUGUAUAAAAAUUCUUCCGAGCUUAACGGUAAUUACUCACUAUCUCCGAUUACGAGUAGACAAUUGAUUUCGAUCUGUUGUUGCGAAUUGGCAGUCACCCACCCCCCAAAAAAAAAAAAAAACUAGAAACAUGAAUAAAACAUUCACACCUAACACCCCCUCUUUAUCUUUAAUUUCCUCAUGGUUGUAUAUGUGUAAUACUCCGUUAGGGGUCCUAAUUUGAAGCUUCUAACGUACAUCAGGCGAAAUUUUAGUCAAUGAGCUAUGUUUGUGAUUGUUCUUUGUCCAUCAGUUAGCCCAUAAAAGCUUGGUUCAGGUAAUCAAAUUUUAAUUAAUAUAUAUCAUCAGAAAUCAUGAUAUAUAUAUAUAUAUAUGUAUACAUACAUGUACAAGCAAGCAAACAUGCACAUAUAAGUCAACGUGGACUUGUGGACCGGACGCAUCCAUGACUAAAGGACCAAAAAAAUCAAAUCCCGGAAAAAGAAAAUGGAGUAUUUCCGGACUGCCUUUAAAUAGUGGUGAAAGAUGAGUCUAAUUAUUCGGUGCUUGAAUCUAACUCGAUUUGAUAAGAACUCAUUUAAAUUUGAUUCUCCAACUAAUCAAUUUAAGUUUGAACACGUCUAAUAACACUCAAAUUCAAUAAAAAAAAAAAAACUUAUUCAAAUUCAGUUUCACAAACAAAUAAAUAAAAUUUAAAAAUAAUUAAAUAAGUUUGAACACUAAAAUAUUUAACUUGAUUAAACUUGUUUACACCUCUAUCGAUCUUUAAGGCGUGGGAUCCACCAUCUUGUCCAGCAGCCCACAGAGGAUACUAAUUUGACAUUGAUGGAAGGUUUUGACGGAGUAAUUAUACAUAUUCGAGACUGAUGAUAGGACGGGGCCAGCUUUCAUUCUUUAUACUGUAUGGUUAUCUAUUUAUUCCAAUGGGGGAGAUUAAUUUAGGGGUUAAUUAAUGAGAGGAAGAAAUGGAAUACAAAUACAAGGAUGUGGGGUCAUACAGAUAUAGGCUACAAAUCAGAGAUGUGGGUCGUGUUGGUUCUGAUGAUAAGAAAUGGACUCCGAGAAUUGACCCAAUCGGGACCCUACUGGUCGAUCAUGAACCAGCAAUUAGGACCCACCGCUCAUCUCCAUGCAUGGUUUUCCAUGAAGAUUUUGUUGCCAACAGUCUCAAAAUAAUAACUUGUAUGUCUUUUUUUUUUUUUUUUUUCUCUCUUGUUUUUUUAAUCUUUCUUUUUUGGUCUAAUUUUCUGAUCAAGUCUUCGUCCUUAAAAAUUCGCUUCCAUUACCAUACAUAUAACAUCCCAGUAUUAAUUAAGAAGGUCAAAUAUUGGAUUUGAAUUUUCGUUUUGCGUUAUUUUGUCAGCACUAGGGUUUGCAUCUCGACCGUCUAUUUUACCUGAAAUGACCAUAAGGAAAAAGAAAAUCAGACUUACACAAAAAAGAUUACGACUACCUAAUGGGAGAAGACACGAGCGGCUAGCUAAUAAAAUCCAUUAUCAAAAAUAUCAAAUGAUAUGGUCGCCGCCUAAUAUGCAUUCACAACAUUAGACUAGUUAACUUAUUGCUUGUCAUAUAUAUCAAAAUUUACUAAGAAACACAAAUUGGGAUUAAUCAGUACUCACCACCACAUAGCCUUUUAGAAAGAUUCUAUGGUUUCUUUUGGAAACCAUCCAUUCUCUUUAACUUGUAUCUCUCAAGAACGAUAUCUAUCUAUUUUUAAAAAUAUUUAAUUUGCUAUAAUUCACGGAUCAAAAUUACUUAUUCAUCAUCCAACCAACGACAAAUUUAAUUCAAAAGAGAAUAUUUUCUCUCUCUUUCUCUCUCUUAGAGAUACAUGUAUACAUCUUUGGCACGAGCAUUUUAACUAGUACGUAGAUCAUUAUCUCAACUGAUCAAAGUAUAUAAUGGGUUUCUUUUCAAAUAAGCAUAGGAAUUGUCUUUUUUUGUGUGUGUGUGUGUGGGGGGGGGGGCGGGAUUAGUUGAUUGAGUACAGCUGUCAAGUCGUUCCUGGGACCUGUAUGAUGUAUGUCAAAACUUAUUGAAGACCAGAAAUAAUUAAGACCAUAGUUAAGAUAAUGACGACCAUCAUCUACCCUCUUAUUCCUUCUCGUGUACAAUCACGAAGGCGAAGAAUAAUUAGACUUCGAGUUCAUUGGCCUAGGUUUCAGUUUCAAGCCUUAGCCCGUGCAAACUUGUCCAAAGUUAAAAGGAUGAUAAUUAUAUGCUAACUCUUGUGGUUUUUCUUUUUCCUGUUCAUGAUGAUUUUCUUUUGGCCACUGCCAAGAAAACUAGAAAAAGCGUGAUGCUUGAGAGCUUUAAAGUAGGACCAAAAACAGAGGCCCUUACUCCAACCCGAUCACCGGGGCCGGGGCAGGGGAAAUUAUCUUUCGUCCUAUCAAACCUUUUAUCGUCGAUGUACUGGGAGAGUGUGUGUUGCGGAGUGGUCCCCACCCCCUGAGCUGCCACGUGUCACGAAUUGUCCCAUUUAAGAAUCACGCGUGUCGGUUGAUUAAAGGCCUAAAUUUCAGUUCUCAACUCCCUCAAUGCGCAUAUCCGGCGUUAAUCACCUAAUUUUCACACUCAAUGUCCGGCUGUAACAACAGGGGCAAAUUUGGCAUGACGUGGAAGAGUGUGACUGGCCAGUGACAUCUUGGCUUAAAGAUAAUUGAGGAAUUUCAUUGUAUUUUAUUAUUGUGACACCACCGUAAUCCCGUGGUCCGUACCCGUAUAAAAGAUGGACCAGCCAGCUCUAAACAACAAUUCGGUCGAUUCUCUGUAUUUUCUGAUGUUGUGCUAAUGUUCUUCUUGCCCGAUAGCUUUUCUUCUUUCUUUUUUUUUUUUUUCUUUUUUGGGGGUCCAAAAAAUCCAAAGCUCAAUAACAGUAGUAUCUCUUCCUGAUCAAAUUCCACAGCUUUUCAGAUUGAUCAAAUUUUGAUCCAUCAGUCCUAGUAGUAAUUAAUGGAGAGUACGGAUUCAUCCACUGGCUCUCAGCAGCCCCAGCUUCCCCCCGGCUUUCGCUUCCACCCCACCGAUGAAGAGCUUGUAGUCCACUACCUCAAGAAAAAGGCCGCCUCAGCUCCCCUUCCCGUUUCCAUCAUAGCCGAAGUCGAUCUCUAUAAAUUUGAUCCUUGGGAGCUCCCAGGUCAGUACUACUAUGUUGAAACUGUUAAUCAACCCUUUUACUUUUUGUUCAUGUAUUUGCAUAGGUCCUUUUGAGUCCUAUACCGGGUAAAGCAUUUUAAUACGGGUUAUGGUCGUUUUUCUUGUUUUGUUACUUUUGUUUUUUUGCAGCGAAGGCGACUUUUGGCGAACAAGAAUGGUACUUUUUCAGUCCGAGGGACAGGAAGUAUCCCAACGGGGCACGGCCGAAUCGGGCGGCUACGUCGGGAUACUGGAAGGCUACGGGGACUGACAAGCCUGUGCUUACCUCUGGGGGGACGCAGAAAGUUGGGGUGAAGAAAGCUCUGGUGUUCUACGGGGGAAAGCCACCAAAAGGGAUCAAAACUAAUUGGAUCAUGCAUGAGUAUAGGCUGGUUGAUAACAAAACUAGUAUCAAGCCUCCAGGUUGUGAUAUUGGCAACAAAAAAGGCUCCCUCAGGGUAAAUGUCUCCAUCAUUUCCUCUUUUUCAAAUUUAUCAUUUUUGUGGAAGAUUGGUACCUUUUUUGAUGUUAAUUUCCUAGGAUGAUGAAUUCAAUUACACUUAUUUGUGAGGUUUCUUUUAUUUUUUUUCUCUUUUAUUUUAUUUUAUUUUUGGCUUUUCCAGCUUGAUGAUUGGGUGCUAUGUCGGAUCUACAAGAAGAACAAUACACCAAGACCAAUGGAUCAUGACAGGGAUGAUUUGAAUGAUAUGAUGCCAUCAAUCCCUCCAUCUUUACCGCCUUCAAUGUCUAUGUCGUCACAACAGAAGAUUCUGGGACUGAAGGCUUCAAACUUUGGUGCAUUGCUCGAAAAUGAACAAAGCGCGUUUGAAGUACCGGGGAUGCUGAGUAGUGAAGGUAACUCUAUGUCUCAGUUAACUUCAUCUGGGGCCGCAAAAUCACAGCUGCCUUUGGUUGGUUCAGCUUCCAAUCAUGUCAUCCCUGCAAAGAGAGCGCUCCCAGCUCUGUACUGGAACGACGAGGGAAACCCAAUUUCUCCAUCGAAUAAGAGGUUUCUUGCUGACAGCAGUGAUGGAAACAUUGGGAGGACUAAUAAUGAUGAGAACAGUUCAAUCGCCACCCUCUUGAGUCAGCUUCCUCAAACAACUUCAUUGCACCAACAAGCAAUGUUGGGAUCUCUUGGAGAUGGGGUUUUUCGACAGCCUUAUCAAGUUACUGGCAUGAAUUGGUACUCAUAGAUGGGUUGCAUGAUUCAUGAUGGUUUAAUUAUAGGCAUGAUUAUUUAUGUUUUAAAUUUUCAAGACAAUUUUUAUAUGCUGAUGACGGAAACCAAGGAGUUAAGUUUGGAUGAUGAGUAUCCGAAGAUUGAUUGCCGGAAUGGAGGUUGAAAUUUCGUGCUAAGCAUAUUAUGCCAAGACUUCUCAGUUGAAAUUUCGCCCGCGGUUCUCGAUGGAGCUUUUAGCCAAUUGUAGGUGAGGCCGUGCAUAUUUAACAGCCGGAUUAAUAUGGAUACUUCUCUAUAGGAUUGGUUAUUCUUAGACUUCCAGAAGAAUUUUCUACUCUUUCUUCAGAGAAAUAGGGGAUAAAUACCUACCUAUAUCUUCUUCUAGAAUGCAGCAACUUAAUGGUAUUUGAAGAAAAUGUAGCACAAUAUUGCUCUUUAUUGUAUAGUAAAUUUAAGGGAGUAUACAAGUAACUCUGCUUGCUUAUAAUUAAGUAGUUCACAAUUUAGUAUCAUUUGAGUUCCUUUUGAUCAUAAGUCUGAGCAUGCAUUUACAUAUGGCAGCUACGUACGUACCUUGAAAUUGCACAACGGCCUUUCUUUCCGGUUGGCUUCAAAAACCCUAAAGAGGUUGCAAAAUCAGAUGUUUGCUCACUUAAACCAUUAGUUCUUCGAUCUUCAAUAAGUUUUCCAGAACUCGAAUUCUCUUUGGGUUUAUUCAUUAUUGCCACCCGAAUCCUGUUACUAAUUUGAAGCUAAUAUUUUGAUUUUGAUUUCUUAAUUCGCUUUCAAGUUGUUGUUUGUCUUCCAUAAAUUUGACGUGAUAGGAUUAAUUUCUGCCAGGCCCGAGUAUUUGAAAAUAUUAAUUAUGUUUUUGUUGAAGAUUUUGCUCUUAUGAAGCCAGUGGCAUAGGCUUAUAGAAGACAAAAGCCUUAAUUUUGGUUGUGUUCAAGAAAACGCAAGAAGAAUUGAUCUUUGUCGCGUCCGAAUACUGAAUGAAGAAGUCCUGUUGUGGUUAAUGUGCUAACAGAUAAUUAACUUAAGUACGGGGAUUACUGUCCCAAAUCGCGAAAUCUGUAUGCUAACUCAGAGAUUCUAAUCGCUGGAGCAAAAGAGUUGAAGAUAAACCCUUGCGUGAUUUGAUUUGAAACAUCAUUAUUGGCAGAUGGCAUUCUGAUUAAGACGUAUCAUGAUACGACAUAAUUUAAGGAGGAAAAUCAUACAGUGUAAAAUUGAAGUCCCUUGUGUUAUCUUGUUUUGACUUAAAUUAGGACCCCCAAACCUCUGAGUAAAAAUUAUAGCAUACCAAAUUAAUAAUAAUAAUGUUUCUAGGAGGAAAAUAAUCAAGAAGCAAGCAGAUAUUACUUUUUUUUCUGUACAAAGGGAACCAAAAAUACUAAUACUAGUUCCUUUUAACUUAAUUGCAGCAGCAGCUCUUGAUCAUUUGUUUGUAGUAAAAAUGAAAGGCACUAGUGUGUGUGAACAUGGUAAAUGGGUUUUGGAUUUUUCCACUUUAGCUAGCCGUUGGAAACGUUCCAUAUUAAUGUACAAGAAAGCAUUGUAUUGCAUCACGUCAUCUCCUUCCAUUCCAUGAUCAUCUUCAAAAAUGAGUUGAUGAAGAAUUUGAGUUAGCGGAAUGGGGGCGUCAUUAUCUCUUCUCCUUUGUUCAAUGAAUCGAUAAGACAUGGGGGCGUAUAUUCCAUCAGCAAUAGGGUCUCACAUGUUGACAACAAGAGGCUACCUCACAAAUGGCUUUCUCUCUUGGCUGACUAUAUAUGGGACCAUUCUUGCUGUCACCCAAGGGAAUCAUUAUGUUAAAAUUAACCACACAAAUUUAUCAUCGUUAAUCCCAUUCCUUUCUUGGGCAGGAGUACAAAACCACUUUAAUUUUGUUGCUGCUUAAUUUUGCAUUUGAUAAUGCACUAAUAUUUUUAUUUCCUCCUGGAACGACCAUUUACAAGCUACAGCACUCGUGUCUGAGUCGAGUCCAGUGGAGCGGAGUAGUAUUGCAUGUUCUCUUCUUCUUCUUUUUCUUCUUCCUCAAAGACUGUAUGUAUAUACAUAAUUCAUCCACAUACUUUUCACCUACCUGCAUGAAUGAUUAUGCCAGAUCAAAAAAAUGCUUACGCAAGGUACAUUUGUAUGCCAUACUGGGAAUUGUAGCAUGUAUUUCACGUUUUCGCAGCAGACCGCGAUUGUCGUAUAUACGUAUUUAUGUACGUACAAGUGUAUAUGCACUAGCGGAAGAUUAUCGCAUUGAAAGCAACACUUAAGCUCGGUUAGCUUGCUUGAUGACCUAUAGAUGAUAAACCCUUUCACAUUCCUUUUUUCAGUCUGCAGAUUUGGAGCAAAUGAGAAAGAGGGAUUUUCAUUAACUCUAUAUAUAUAUAUAUAUAUAUAUAUAUAUAUAUAUAUAUAUAUAUGUUGAUGAUGAAUCAUGAAUGGCGGGGGAAGUUAAAGAUUGAUGAUCAAGUGUUGUGAAUCUUGUAUUUCUUUUAUAAAUGGGACAGUUCAUUAAUUGACUACAACGGCUGGGAAAUAAUUAACCUCAUUGAUGCCACAAAACCCCGAAUAGUCGUCUUCUUGAUUAGCGACUUUAAUUACGUCCAACCAACCUUGUCUAGAUAGAGAAUUAUUUGUCAAAAUUUAUUUGCUUACAUCAUCAUUACAAUUUCAAACACAACUUUUUAUUUUUUUAAUUAACUUUUUAUCUCACAUACAUCAUAUCAUAAAAAAAUGUUACAGUAAAAAUAUCUCAAAUAAUUUACAAUCCAAACAGAGCCUUGAAUCUUUCCCAAAUCAUGUAGGCACAUAAUUGAAUUAAAUUUAAAUAAAUAAAAAAAUUAGAGAUGAUGGUCUUAAAUCCUGGCCCACACAAAAUGGUAGAGUACCACAACUCCAAGUUGGGGUUAUGAUCAAACUUCAAAGCCCUGUAUCCUCUUUUUUUAUAGCUACAUUGCAGCAAAAGGCUUUAAUCAUAACCAAUCCUAUCCUGAUAGAUAUUUGCCGAAUCACUGAUUCGACUGCUGAAUUCAAGGCUUCUACAAAGUUUACAGUAACAGAGUUCAACUCUGACGUUGACAAUCGUUUGGCUUUCAAAAAGUACACCAUCCUACCACCUCAAGGAAGGACCACCACCACUUUUCCGGCUGCCCGCCACCGCCUCACUGCCCUUUCAUUUAUAGAUAAAUCUUGAUUUGACUCAGAAAAGAUCUAAGUGCUAAUCCACUACAAAUCUCAAGAUGAUGGAACUAUUAAUAUCAAAUCACAUCCCAAAAACAAAAAAAACAAAAAAAAGAAUGGACCGUAUGAUGUAUUCCAAGCAAUUUAAGGGGUUAAAGUGAUAAUAAUCCAAAAAAAAGGAGAAAAAUACAAAGGAAGUGAAACUAGAAGAUAUUAUUCUCUCUACACGGCAAAUGAAUCAAAUAAAAUCUUCUUGAAAGUUGUUUUUCUUCUUGACACCGUUUGAAUAAAAUCUGUUGGAACAAAUUAUUCCCCCACCUCUCAAAAUGUAUGAAUCAAGUAAAAUAUGCCCAUAAAUGGGCAACAUUAAUGGGCCACAUUUUCUCUGUUUUAUUGCUGGGCUUUCCGGACAUCAACAACCCGACAAAAUAACAGAUUGCCUACCUCUGAAUUAUGCUGGUGUUACACUCCAAGCCCUUCAAUCCAGAUUUUUUUUUUGGUGACAUUAAUUAACUUUGAUUUAUACACAAAAUUAGUUAGAACUGGACCACUACUUCUUCUAAAUACUUUAUGGUUUUUUAGCUAUAAUUUAAAAAAAAAAAAACCACUCUAUAUCAAUUUUUCCGGCCAUCAAAUCAAAAUAUCUAUCCUAUUUUUGUAGAUUAAUCUUUGCAAAACCAUCUGUUUAUAAAUUCUUUAAACUAGUUGAUUGACAUAGAUGCCAAAUUUACAAAAAAUAAAUUUUAAUAAAAGGUACAUCACACGCAUCUUUGUGCAAAAAUUACUCAAACAACAUCCUAUACGGAAGAUUUAUUUUUAUAGUAUUGAGUUUAAAAUACUGUCUAUUCAAAAAAAUAGAGAGAAAAGAAUUAGAAGGACAAUUAUAAAUCAUAUUACUUUUUUUGGAUAAAUGAGAGAUUUUGAAUCCAAAUCGUACUAUUUUAACUUCCCUCGAGUAUGCCGUCAUUACAAAUUCCAUCCAUUUUAGUACUCCACUAGCAUCUAUAUCUAUAUAUAUUGCAGGGAGAGUUUUUAGGAUGGUUAAAUCAGAAUACUUAUAAUUCCUCAUUCUUUUUUUUUAUAUAGAAUUUUAAUUUUUUAAAUUGUUAUAUAUCAUUUCAUGUUUUUUGAAUUUAAAAGUAGGAAGUGGCCCACUUAUAUAGGAAUUUGAUUUGAAAUCUAUUAAUGUAAGGGUAAAUAAAAAGGAAAAUCACUAACUCUACUAAAAGUAAAUAAGUAAAUAACAAUAUAUUUUACUCUUCAAUUUAGUAAUCCUAACUAAAAGGGCAAAUUAUAUAGAAAAUAAAAAGAAAAUAAUAUUCAUUGGUUAUGAAUUAAAAAUAUCAAUAAUGGUACCAUUUGUGAAUGCUAGAUUAUGAAAUCACUAAAUAGAAAACAAAGUACUACUAGCCUAAAAAAACAAAUUAUGAAUUUAAAGGGUUUGGGAGAAUGGUGAAGGAAAAAGAAUAGGAAAUUGGGUGGCAAAAAUAGAAAGUUAAAGGCUAGUUAUAGGCGAGAGAAAGAGAAUAGCAAGGAGUUUAAAGAGUGGUGAAAAAAAAUUUGAAAAAAAGAAGGUAAACUACUACAAGAUUGAAUGAAGAAAGGAGAGAAGAAAAAAAUGGAAUUGUAAGGAUAUGACAGGAAGGAUGACACCGUGGUAAGAGGUCUGAAAGUCAUAGAAAACAGCGGAUAAUCAAUUAACAGGUAAAAGAGAGUGGAAAGGGUGAUAGUUUUUAAUAAUUUUGAAAAUUUUAAAAACACAUCUUGCAAAGAUUAUUUUAAAUCUAUAUUAAAACUUAUGAAGAACAUUAUUCUAUAAGCACUCAACAAUUUUAGGAUUACAAGAUGAGAGAAAAAUUUUAUAAAAUUGAGGAAAAUGAAUUAGUUAUACUUUAUAUUUUUAAUGUUAAAAAUUUUGAUAUAUGGGUAUAACAUGAUAUACUGAUAAAUAAGUUUACAAUUGCUCUAUCAUGUAAAUUGUUAUAAAUUAAAAAUUAUUGUAUUCAAAUUGUUAUCAUAUGCAUUGACAGAAAAUAGGUUAACAAAAUUUGGUUUCAACUUAUUUAAAAUAUUAAAAUUAAGAAAAUCUAUUUUGUAAAACUUUUUUUAACAUGUCAAGCAUAUGUUUUUUUUUGAAUAUUUUUAUUUGUUUCAUAUAUUUUAUCCUAUACUAUAAUAAAAAAGUAUUAUUUUGAAAUGAAAUAUAAAUACGUGCAUAGCACUGGAUCAAAAUGCUAAUUCUAAUAUAGCCUAAGGAGUAUUUGACUGGGAAGUGGGAACGGAUGAGAGCAUCAACAGAAAAUGCAAUCAACAAGAGGCACGAUCAAGGCAUCUGUCGAAGUUUGACCAGUCAGUAAUAGUGACCUGGUCAAGUACAGCAGCGUGUCUGGGAAGUUCCAUCUGUCUUUCCUAUUGAAGAUUUACAUGAUGAUCGGAUCCAAGUCAAAACUCUGAUCAAACAUUCAAAAACCAAAAAAAGGAACAUUCCCCGUAAGUGUAACCCCAUCCAUGCCGAGUAAAGCACACCAUAGGAAAAAAAAAAAAAAGCAAUACCAUGGAAAAGUCAAUACCACCAUCGACCUAUAAAACCAAAAAACCAAGAAAACCUCAACAGCAAUCCAAGAGUACAACAAUCAUAGGACUAGUAAGUUCGCUUGCUCAAGUUCACAAAACGGAGAGCGAUCCAAUCCCUCUGAUGGAGGUGACUAUCACAGUGGAGAGGCUUCCAGUCGUGGCAGACGAGUCUUGGCACGGUCCAAAAGUAGCAACUCAAAGAUCCCGUAUUAUGCAGGCUUCAAGGUUAGCACGAGGUUUGUAUCCAGAGAUGGUGUCCCUAGCGCCUAGAUAUUAUGAUAAAUUUAGGAGAAAACAAGCCAAGAAGGAGAUUCUGAGGAGAGCUUUGACGCCCCCGGUUCGCCGGCCGACCUUAAGGUGGUUGGAUUUCAGGCCAACACCCAGCCGUCUUCGUAAUAUGUCCAGGGAAUGAUCAAAGAUUUGGUUGCAAUAAUCCCAAGUCUCUGCUUCAGGAGAGGCGUUUGAACGCUUUUUGUUGUCAAAUCUCGAUUGCAGAUGGAGCACUAACUAGUUUCUGUAUCGCUAUUUCUUGUGGCGUCUGUACAUAUUCUUGAGCUAUGAUUGAUCCAUGUAAUUAUUGCUUUCCGGGACUAAUUAUUAAUUAUCUUUUCAUAAACCCAAAAAAGGGAAAAAUAAAAAUUCAGUACACAAACGUCAAAUAGCAAAAAGCAAGUACAUAGCAUUUAUUGUGUGUUACGUAACAAAUCACAAGUAGAUUUUUAUUACUUGUUUUUAACACGAACUACAACAGAUUAUAUAUAUACCAAUGUAGGAGUCUGAUAUAUAACCCUGGCCAAGUGACUGAUUACAUAUUUCGAUGGGGAAUUACAAGAAGGGCUAUACAUACACAAUGUUGUUUACAAUGGAAA
rnacentral:lncRNA from 1 species